UAACAGAAACCCGUAAAUCCGAACUUGUGCUGUUUUUUAUCUGUUACAAGACCGGCAUUAUGGGAGUCUGUCAA
rnacentral:pre_miRNA from 15 species